GACGAACGCUGGCGGCGUGCUUAACACAUGCAAGUCGAACGAAGUGGCGAACGGGUGAGUAAUACGUGGGUAACCUGCCCUCCUUUUUGGGCUACGCCUUGGAAACGGGGUCUAAUACCGAAUAAAGGGGCAUGGGCUCGCUGCCGAUCAGCUUGUUGGAGGGGGGAUGGCCUACCACGGCGGUGAUCAGUAGCCGGUCUGAGAGGGUGAACCGCCAAAGUUGGAAUGAGGAAAGGGCCAGAAUGCUAAGGGAGGCAGGAGUGGGGAAGCAUCGGCAAGGGAGGAAAGGCCGACGGAGCAACGGCGCGGGAGUGAAGACGGCCUUCGGGGUGGAAAGCUAUGUUAAUCGGGACGCGGUACCGGAAUAAAAAGCAACGGCUAACUACGUGCCAGCCGCCGCGGUAAUUC
rnacentral:rRNA from 1 species